UCUUUGAAGAUAUAUCUAGUGGAGAAUAUUAAUAAAUAAUAAUAAAAAAGUUUUAUUUUUGAAUGAAUUUUUCAACAUGAAAUUAUUAUAUAAACAUUUAUUCUAACCAUUAUUUUUGAAUAACAGACGUAAAUUUUUAUUUUACAAUUAAAUUUUUUUUUUAAUAACGGAAUUAGUGAAAAAUGUAACAAGUAUGUUUGUUUCAUUAAAUUCACUGGUUAAUCAAAAAUACAAUUUUCAGGAGAAAAAUUUUUCCAAGACUGUAAAUAUUUUAAUAUUAUAGUAUACAUUAAUACCUGUUAUUAUUUCCUUAUUAUUGACUUUUCUUGGUUUUUUCUUGGUUUCUGCCGACUAUAAAAUGUUAAUGACUUCUGAAAUAGCAGUCCAAAAGCUGUUAUCGACCAGUUAUUUAGUUAUAUACUCUGUAUAGAAUAGGUUAUAUAAAUCUAAUUCAACGUUUAUAUACUUGUUUAGAUCGGAAUCCUCGUGUUGUAAGUGUAUUCGGUUUUCCAAGGGUUGUACCUAAUAAUUAUUACUUUUAAAAUCAUCCUUUAUAACUUAUAGAGAUAUCAACUUAAAUUUUUUCAAAUGAUAAUAACAUUUGGAACAGUACUACGGAAGCUAUGUUCAUUUAUAAUCUUUGCUGAGUGGAAGAGUACGGCCGAGAAAUGACUGAUAAUGUAAAUAGCUGCACACACACCUCACCGCCAUUGAGAAGUUUUAUAUGUUAUUAGCUUCAGUUUUAAUUAAGUUAACACCCAUUAAAUACAAAUUUUUUUUUUUCAGUAGGGUACACUUUAUGAUAUUUGUGUAUUUAUAUUAUGUUCAUUACAAAGACACAAGUAAAAUAAUAUACAAAGUUAGUAAAGGGAGAAUAAUAUUUGUGCUAAAGCAUCAUCACUAUUUAAUACCUCUAAACAUGAUUUAUAAAAAAGUCCAAGACAUAAGGACAUUAGGGUCAUAAUUAUUAUUAUAAUGAUCAAAAUUACAUAUUUCUGUUUCCCGAAUUUAACAUGCUAAGAGGGUAGUUUUACAUGUUAAAGUGUAAAAGAUGUUUCUAGGCAAAUGAUGCACCAGAUCAGAUUUAAUUAGUUUUUAAUUAAUUUAACCAAAAAUAACACUUGAUUUUUUUUUAAAUAUAGAGUUCAUUAAGUUUU